rnacentral:rRNA from 1 species
GAGGACCGAACCGACUAAUGUUGAAAAAUUAGCGGAUGACCUGUGGCUGGGGGUGAAAGGCCAAUCAAACCGGGAGAUAGCUGGUUCUCCCCGAAAGCUAUUUAGGUAGCGCCUCGUGAAUUCAUCUCCGGGGGUAGAGCACUGUUUCGGCUAGGGGGCCAUCCCGGCUUACCAACCCGAUGCAAACUGCGAAUACCGGAGAAUGUUAUCACGGGAGACACACGGCGGGUGCUAACGUCCGUCGUGAAGAGGGAAACAACCCAGACCGCCAGCUAAGGUCCCAAAGUCAUGGUUAAGUGGGAAACGAUGUGGGAAGGCCCAGACAGCCAGGAUGUUGGCUUAGAAGCAGCCAUCAUUUAAAGAAAGCGUAAUAGCUCACUGGUCGAGUCGGCCUGCGCGGAAGAUGUAACGGGGCUAAACCAUGCACCGAAGCUGCGGCAGCGACGCUGAUGCGUUGUUGGGUAGGGGAGCGUUCUGUAAGCCUGCGAAGGUGGCCUGUGAGGGUUGCUGGAGGUAUCAGAAGUGCGAAUGCUGACAUAAGUAACGAUAAAGCGGGUGAAAAGCCCGCUCGCCGGAAGACCAAGGGUUCCUGUCCAACGUUAAUCGGGGCAGGGUGAGUCGACCCCUAAGGCGAGGCCGAAAGGCGUAGUCGAUGGGAAACGGGUUAAUAUUCCCGUACUUGGUGUUACUGCGAAGGGGGGACGGAGAAGGCUAUGUUGGCCGGGCGACGGUUGUCCCGGUUUAAGCGUGUAGGUGUGUGUUCCAGGUAAAUCCGGUU